UGUAGUUCAGUGGUAGAGUACUCACCUUGCAUGUGUGAGGCCCUGGGUUCAAUCCCCAGUA
rnacentral:tRNA from 1 species